UUGGCUGAGACCAGUUAGUAACUUAAAAAUAUCUGGCACCAUGAAUUUUUAAGCAAAAUUGUGCCUCAUUAAAUUGAGCUUCUCAUGUUCUCAUUUGUCAUGUCACUUUCUAUAUAUAUUUGCCAUAUAUAUGCUAAAGAUCAUUAAAAUGCAUUUGUACAGACAUUUUUUUCCUCUCUAGUUACUUAUGUCAUCUGUGAUGGAAAGGAGGAGUGCUGGCCAACACUCGGUGACUAAAGGUGACUAAACUCAGGUAGCCAGGAGGUGUUGGCAGGGAGCCAGAAGAACCAAUGGAGUACAGUGCUGAAAUUUGAAUGCUCCUACCGAAAUCAAUGAAAAUGUUGGGUUUCCAGGAAUGCGGGAUUGGGCCUACAGAGGCUAAGUAUUCUUCUUAUAUAUUUUUUGACUUGCCAUUAUUUCUAAACAAAAAUAAAAUUCUGAUAUUGCUCCACCCAAGAUCCAGGACAGGACUCUGAUUUCAAUGGGAGAAGGUCUGAAAUUAGCAGUAACAGUUUUGUAAAUAUAGCUGUGUGACCAUGUUAGCCAGUGUCCCCAUGUUCUCUGGAGUCUGUAUGCAAAAUGGAAGAACAGUACCAAAGGCACAACAUUUUCUCUUUCAUCUUUUCAGGGCAUUCACUUACAAGUCUCUUUGAUCCAGCAUAAUUUUAAUUCUGUCCAUUUAUACACUUUUGCUGCCCACCCCUUCACAAAAUAGGAUUUUAGUUUCUUCUGUUAGUACAGGUGUUUUGAUAUAUAUGGUAAUACAACAGAUAUAAUCUGUAGAUACAGACAUUCACAACCACUUCUAAAUCAAAAUAUCUGUCUGGAUUUUACACCAUACAUCUCACCAUGAUCCCUGGCAAUGUUCCCUCCAAUAUUUUCCAUCCAUACACAAUACAUUUUAUUAUGUGUACCAAGGCAUGUGCAGAUAUAGAAACACAUACUACCAUCUGUGAGCAGUUGCAGGCACUCUAUUAAUGAGAGGGAAAGGGGCAUGCAAGUGCUCAACUUACAGAGAACUCUGGUCCCUGGGUAUCCAAGUUAAGUAGAUCAGUCAAUGUGGAGUUUGAAACAAAUCUUUCUUUUUAUUUAUUUUUUUAAUAAAAUGUACAAAUAUAUCUGGAGUUUUUGUCCUUUUUGCCAAUGGUUAAUUUGUGCUAGGGCUUGCCAGGGCUGAACCUCAGACCUCGAGGCUUGGCAGUUCUGGCUUGUUGCAUCAGUUAUGAAUGUAAGAAAAUCGCUUGAGCCUUAGCACUUCUUUCAUUACAAAUGACACACUGCUUUCCUCCCUCUUAUUUGACCUGACUGUAUUCUUGGAACACAGGUAGGGGAGGAUUUUCAAGAGCACCCUGUGUUAGCUUCACUCUGCUCCUGUUGAAGUCAAGUGGAACCAUGACCUUCACAAUGUAGAGUGAGACCAAUACUUGUGAUGUCCCGCUGAAGAUGUAUGGGAUAUAUUGAUAUAUAAACACUCAGGAUUCAAGAAACUUUUCCUUUUAUUCCAUAAUAGUCUUCUGCUGGGUUUCUUACACCUUCCUUUAAAGUAAUUAGUGCUAGCCAAUGUUGGAGACAGUAUACCAGGACUAGAAGGACCACUGAUAUGAUCCAAUAUAGCAGUUCCUAUGUUCCCUUGUUAAAGGCAUAGGAAACUAAGCAUGACUUUGAGCAUUUCCAUAAAGUCAACUGGGACCAAAUCCUCAGAUUUUUACCACCUGCCAUGCCUGCUUAAGCAGUGCCUUUGGAGCUGGCUCUCAGUGGGGCUAGUUCCAAGAAGCAGGAAAGGCAAGGCAGAAUCAAUAAAAGGGCUCAACUCAAAUAAUCAGGACAAUCACAUCUCAGACUUUAGGAUAAGAACAGCUUUUCAUAUUAUUUUCAUUCUUCAGGGUUGGGGAAUUUAAUAACAGAACAUUCAGCAUGGCCUAGAGGAUUUGUGGCUUGUAUUUAUGUAUGAGAGAGUAUACUUUUUGCUUCUGUUUUUAAUUUUAAAAGUUAUGUUCUUUAUCUGGGUUGCAUUAGAAUCGAGUCUCUAAAAAUCAGUCAAUUGGCUUUACCAAACUGUUCAUCAAAAAGGGAGAAUGUAGAAUACAUCAGGCUCGAUUCUAAGCUGCUUCUUGUAAUGAGUUACUUAUCAACUCUACUCCAUGUGUUUACAAGGUCACCAAAACCUAGAAAAGAUUCCAGUUAAUUCAACACCACUGGUGCUUUGUCCCAUUACUGAACAACUGCACAGGGUGAAAUCCUGGCUCCAAUGGAAUCAACUGAAGUGUUGCCAUUGACUUCAGUAAGACCAGCAUUUCACCUCAGAAUCUCAGACAGCAUGGAAGACCCUCUUUUGAAGAGCAAAAUGUCAUCUUCCAUUCAUACAUGACCUCAUAUGUGCUGCCAAUUUUUACCACUAGAGGAUUUAAACCAUUUGCAUAAAAAUAAUCACAAGCUUUUAUCUGCAUUAUUGGUAUUGAUCUUUUUAUGGAGUUUUUGUAUAAGCACUAAAUAUAAUUUUCCGUUAAUAUACUUGUUAGUAGUGUGUAUAUAUAAAGCUAAACAGAAAUAUUGGCUUGCAGACAAAUGGUUUUGUAGAAUAAUUAUUGAUCCUCUGUUAAUGUUGUAUCAUAUUUCUCAUUAGUGGAUGAAAUUCACCUCUGUGUAGAGGGCCAACCACCAAUUCUAUGCAUUCAUUAAAUGCCAAUGAACCCCUCAAAGGUAUUCAUUGGGUGUACAGAUAAUAUGCUGGUUCUCAGAGUGAAAUUAUGACUAAACAUCUUGAAUGGCACCCACUGAAUAUCUUUCAUUUAUUCGGUGAUUUGUACUAGCCUUAAGCACUCACAUAGCAACCAUUUAAGGUUAUCUAAUUUAAAAGAUAUCUCCAGUAAUACUCUUUAAAUGAUCUGUUUCUUACCAUACAUCAUCGAAGUUUGUUAUUGACUGGUUAUUAUCAAUUAUUUUUAGUAGUACCCACAGCUUGCCUUCUUUGUAUACAUUUGAAAAGGGUACAGUCCCUGCCUGAAAGAGUUCCCAGUCAAAGGAAACAAAUAUUAUUAUUUACUGGUAUUAUAGUAGCAUCUAUGGACCCUUAUUAUCUAUGGGCCAGGACCCAGCUUUGCUAGGAGCUCUACAAAUACAGGACAAAGAGACAGACUCUGCUAGAGAACAGCACAAGGAUAAGACAAGCAUGAUAAGCAGCUGUCACAGCACACUGGCUGCCUAACCACUGUCAAAAGCAGGCAGAGGUUAAAGGAAAGGGAAAAUCAAAAGAGAUAUUUACUACAAGUUAAUUAGAUUCACAGCAGACAUCAGCAGAAAAAUUUUUAAAACUCUUGCUGGACCAUUGUUUAGACUGCAAGCGUUAUAACUCAGCUACACUUCUGAUCUAAUUUUUAUUCUUCAGCCUGGACACUUUGCAUUUUAAAAAUGCAAGUUCUCAUUAACAGCUGAAUCAGAUGUGAUUUUAAAGAACAGUGGCUCUUGUAUAUCAACUUUUCUAUCUGUUUUCUUAAUUUCCAUAGUUCUUUAAAGAAGUCUGUA